ensembl:misc_RNA 7SK 7SK RNA
GGAUGUGAAGGCCAUCUGUCUGUAGCAUGCUACACCAUUGAUCUCCAGGGUUGAUUUGGCUGAUCUGGUUAUUGAGAAGGAUGUCUUCUUCAUCCCUCAAAGCUCCAUGUGCAACCCUCCUGAUGCACUGAGCUCAGCUAAAGAGGACAACCUUCUCCACAUAGAGGAAGACCAGUCUUCUGUCAAAGGUAUAAGAGCAGCUGCAUCUCCCCUUCCUACUAGAACCUCCAAACAAGCUCUCAUUUGUAUGAGAUAAACUUUGCAAACUUAUUUAAUUGAUACAUGAUAAUUGUACAUAUGUAUGGGU